rnacentral:lncRNA from 1 species
ACACAGCGGGGAUGAAAAAGGGUGUGGCUUUUAUCGUGGUUAAAAAUGUUGCGCCUUUUUGUAAAAGGGGUUGAGUUUGUUCAAAAUUACGUGGGAAGCCCAUUUUUUCCUGUUUGCUUGGGUCUGUCCUUUCUAGCUAGUGGUCUGAAAACGGCGUCGAUUUUUAUUGUGCAAAACGCCUCCUCCGGGCAACGACCAUGUGGCUUGUUUGUCCUUGUGCUUUCAUACUUGCUUCCUUAUCCUCCACGUGUUAGCGGUAACGCCUCCAUUUCGAAGCAAACAAAUCCGCGGCAAUCUUUCAACCGGACAGCACCUGGAACUGGAACUGAGAGACUACACAACACAAUCCUACUUAGAUUUUACGUGCAUCUUCUUUAAUCACACUAUUGUGUCUUGCAGUCUAUUAUUAUGAAUGAAGAUAGAUUUCCUUUCUCCAUCUACAUUUUGUCUUCCACGAAGAAAGGCAAUCAAU